AGUGAACGCUGGCGGUAGGCCUAACACAUGCAAGUCGAACGGCAGCACAGUAAGAGCUUGCUCUUACGGGUGGCGAGUGGCGGACGGGUGAGGAAUACAUCGGAAUCUACUUUUUCGUGGGGGAUAACGUAGGGAAACUUACGCUAAUACCGCAUACGACCUACGGGUGAAAGCAGGGGAUCUUCGGACCUUGCGCGAUUGAAUGAGCCGAUGUCGGAUUAGCUAGUUGGCGGGGUAAAGGCCCACCAAGGCGACGAUCCGUAGCUGGUCUGAGAGGAUGAUCAGCCACACUGGACUGAGACGCGGUCCAGACUCCUACGGGAGGCAGCAGUGGGGAAUAUUGGACAAUGGGCGCAAGCCUGAUCCAGCCAUACCGCGUGGGUGAAGAAGGCCUUCGGGUUGUAAAGCCCUUUUGUUGGGAAAGAAAAGCAGCAGGUUAAUACCCCGCUGUUCUGACGGUACCCAAAGAAUAAGCACCGGCUAACUUCGUG
rnacentral:rRNA from 1 species